CCGCCUGCCUUCCGCGCGCCGGCCUCUGGCGAGGACCUUGACCUCGCGCGGACCUCUCCGCCUCCUUUAGCUCUCGCUGACCUGCAUUUGAACCCGCUAAUCCCGUUCCGAACUCUCGCCCGGUCCUGGCGCGCUAAUUCCCGCUGACCCCGCCGCCCCCUCUCUGUUCGCCCGCCUUUGAAGGACAGCGAGGGCUUUGGGCCUCAGAACGUCGGUGUGAUCUGUCGUUCAGUCCAGGACCGCCCCGGGUCGCCCUAUCCCAGGCUCACAAGCUCAGACCAAAGCCAAUAGGCUUGUGUGUCAAACAUUCUUUCCUUCUCUUGCUUAUUCUGGUUUAAUUCGUUUGUUCCUUUAAGAAAUGUACCGAACUAUAAAGGUCACCGUAUUCGAUAAUACACUAAGCUGGCGACGCUAUGGGGAAAUCAGCACUUUCAGACUUGGCCGGUCAGCUAUCAGAAGUCAAAAAGGGUCAGGCAGCCAGGGGCGGGCUGCCAGGAGCAAAUGCCUAGAUGCAAAGGCGGAAGCCACGGGAUGACGAACAGCGGGCAGCG
rfam:Loxodonta africana unplaced genomic scaffold scaffold_27, whole genome shotgun sequence.